CUUUCCCACCCCAUGACAUGGACCCAGAAAUGGGCAGUGUGAAGAAAGCGGAGAUGACUUCACAACUACAGCGCCAUGAAGCACCGGGAUCAUCUAACCGUAAAGGUAUGGAUCCCUCAUCGACUGCUUCUUUAAAGACGAAGGUGCAAAAACAUCAGAUCAAGUUUGAUGCUGAAGACGACUGCAGAGAGAAAACAGUGAGGUUCACUGCUGACGAUGCAGCUAUGGAUGUGACAAGGAGUCACACUGUAAACAUUGCCACUGACUUACCACCACAGUCUUACCACAAUGUGGGAAUGUUACCUGCAUACGGAGAGAAAACCAUGAGGUUCACUGCAACUGAUGCAGCUAUGGAUGUGACAAGGAAGUCACACUGUAAGCAUUGCCACUGACUUAGAACUGCAAUCAAACCAAAAUCUGGACUUUUUACCUGCUUGCGGAGAGAAAACGGUGAGGU
rnacentral:lncRNA from 1 species